rnacentral:tRNA from 1 species
AGGAUUUAAGUUAAAUUGCCAAACUAAUAACCUUCAAAGUUAUAAAUAGAAGUGUAUCUAAGCCUUAG